CAGAGGGGCUUUCAAGAGUUUAAAUAUGUUUCACUAUCAAGGUUCCCGAACAGAUUUACCUUAGUUUCCCAAAUAAAGCACUGGGUAGCUGCACAAACCAGGUUGGAGAGCCCAGGCAUAGAGUUUGGGGGGGAAUAUCACCCGUCGUGCUACGAGAGGAUGCAUGCUCUUCAAACAACAAUGCUGCCAUAGUGCAGCUGGAGGUGGGAGACAAUGUCUAGGCCAGGCUCUUGGCUAACAGGAGAGUCUACGAAGAUUCUGGAAACGACAACACCUUCCGAAAGAACGGUUAGUACAGCAUGCCUAACUGACCCUUGGGUGCCAGAGUGUUUCUGUGCUGCGGUGGAGAAGCGGUCCACCGGGACCAUCACUGAAGAGCCAGGGUCCCAGAUACAUUGCGCUCACGACCAUCAGUAUACAACCGAGUCCUGCCCCUAUACGCCACAGAUGGAGCUGACGGAGAGUGAGAUCAGCCAUCCAUAAAAGGGAAUCGGAGUGGAAUUGUUUUUCCGUAUAUUUUUUUUACCCGUUUCAAAUGGAUGUGCUACCUUGUCGCGGUCCUUCUGUUUCGACUCUCUCAACCCAUCAAUGCUCAGCUAUGAAAAGCCAACUGACAUUUGCGCCUGUUGUGUUUAACUUUUGUACCCUCUAUAACCACCGUGGUUAUUAUUUUGUUGUAAAAAGGGCUUUUGUAAAAUACAUUUCAUUGAUUGCUGUGCUGGAUGCUGUGUAUUCACUAACUGUCUGAGUGAUGGGACAUUUAUAGUAUCUGUAACAUAUUUUGGUGUGGAUUUAAUCUGCAUCUUAACUUCUUAAAGUGACAAUCAGCAGUCGAAACAAAGUGUCUCCCUGCUUCUCUUUUGGUGAAAAACUGAGGGAUGGGGCUGGAGAAAUAACCACUCAAAUUUCAUACAGAGAUAAAUGCAAGAACUGACCAUCCAUGAUAUCAAAACUGUAAUCCUGUUUCUAUGAUCUGUUUCCACUACCAUGUACCCAGUUCGCGUUGGAUAAAGGUGUCUGCUAAAAUGGCAUAUAUUAUUAGUCUACUUUGACUCCAACUACCUGCACAGUGUAGUUACCAUUCCAUUCCAAUAGAUGGCAGCCAAAUCUAGUUGAAGUCACUACUUUAACGACAGGGACAUGGGAUUAGUGCACACUGAAAAUAGUUUUAUCUUCAAAGCAAGUUUCUGGUUACACUUGAACCUGUUGUUAUAGUGGACAAGCUAACAUAUACUAUUUUUAUAUAAGGCGCAUGCAUUAUGUCUAUGACUUCAGUUAGGCUAGAUUUACUAAAUAAACUGGUUUUAUUCAAUG